ACAUGCCUACAUCAUAGCAUUAAUGCACCGGAUCCCAUUAGAACUUCGCAGUUAAGCUCGCUCGGGAUAGAGUAGUAUUGGGAUGGGUGAUCGUCCGGGAAGUCCUAUUGUUUUACAUGCC
rnacentral:rRNA from 1 species